GUGAGGUUGAUGGAAGGAAACUAUCUGCACCAGAGACAUAGAGGAGGACAAUAUGUACCACUUGUUCUACAUAAGACACCGUCUCCACAAAAGAGCCUAUCAGCACAGAGUAAACAAAGUCAUUGAACAUAUGAUUGCAGAGGCUUUUUUGAAAGCAGACGGUCACAUUGAGAUUGAAGGAUCAGGAGGGAGAU